AUUGAGCGAGGCACCGGGACGUCGGCGGCUGGCGGAGCCGGGCGGGCGAAGCUGGAGCGGCGGUGGCGGCGGCGUAGGGAGGCCGGGGCCGGGGCUGAGGCCGCGGCCGGGUCUGCGAGGCCCUUGGGGCGGCAGGCGGCGGCGGCCCGGGGCUCGAGCCCGGAGGCAGGAGCAGCCGCCAUGGCCGAGAGCAUCCAAGUGCCUUGUCAUGAGUCACUAAGGAGAGCAGCUCUGCAGACGGGGACGUUACAGAGCUCCCUCCCCACCAGAAGACCUG
rnacentral:ncRNA from 2 species